CUGCUCCUCUGAUGACAACACAUAUCCAACUAUAUUAUCUAAGAAUACUAUAUCCAUAAGAAUUUCUUCAAGUUAGUAAUAUGUAAAAUACAUUUUUUUGCUAGCCAUAUGUUGAUCGGUCCAUACAAAAAUUGUUGCACUUCUUUUGCUCCAUAUAUUUCCUUAAAUUUCCCCCUCCUUUAUUACUACUACAAAUUUUACAAAUGCAUAAAAUUAUUUAUUGCCAUAAUGUACAAAGUUAUGGUUUCAUAUGGCUUGGCUUUAGUACGACGAUUUUAGAAGUUUCUUCGAUUAGUCAAAAGUACGAGAUUAGCCACUAUCUCAAACAUGGGAGAAGGGAGUGUUGGAAAUGAGCAUGGGCCAAGUCGGGAAGGCCUAAAUAGUAAAGAUUGCUUUACCUGAAAGUUAGGGCGAUGUGCACAAAUAGCCACUAAGAGCACCUGUCUUUACUUUAAAGCCAGUGUUUUAAAUGUCUUUAGUCUUUAGCCACUGGUUUAAUAAACUUUUACCUGACUGAACGAAAAUACCCUUCUGCUACAACUUAUACCUACACUUUUAUUAACGAUCACCCAGCAGCAGUAACUAACUUCAGCAGCAGCUUCUCUUCCGAUUUGAGACUGUGAUCGCUAUGGAAUUGCAGAAGCAUCCCUUCCGAUUUGAAACUGUAGAAUUCAACUUUCUCGACCAAAAAUCGACAUAAAUUUACAGAUGGAAACAAUAUGCAUUAUAGUUGCUUUUAAUGGUAGAUGGACUGAAGACUAUAAGUAUCUUGAUCAUCAAACAAAGCUUGUUCUAGUACCCGAGGCAAUUCAGUUUCAAGAUUUCAUUAAACAGAUCUUUGAAGUUAUUGAAUUGGAUGGAGACAAGUUUGAAGCAGUGAUAUGGUAUGAUAUCAACCUUGGAACAAGCAAGGGAAUGCUUGUAUCCAAAUAUUUAGAUCUUCACACAUGUAUUGAGUUACUAAAAAGUCAUUCACUCUUUAAGGGCUGUCGUUUCAUUGUUGAUAUUUCGGAAAGAGUUUGUGGAUAAUUAAGUGCCUUUGAACAUGUCAACAGAGAAACUCAACAUGACAAUUAAAACAAAUGCCAACAGAUAAUGGAAAUAGAUAUGGUUGAAGCUCAACCAAUAACUGAAGAGGCGCUUCAAAUAUCUGAU